UAGUACACUUAAAUUUAAUUAAUAAAUACUAGAAUAUUAAAAGUUAUGUUCUUUAAAUUUAAAAAAUUUGGCGGUGUUUUAGUCUAGUUAGAGGAACCUGUUUUAUAAACGAUACAACACGCAUUAUUUUACUUGUUUUAGUAAGUCAGCUUGUAUACCGUCAUUAUAAGAUAAUUUAGGGGAAAAUAUUAUUGGAAUCAUAUUAUUGAGUAUAUUAGAUCAAGGUGCAGCUUAUGAAUAAGUAAACAUGGGUUACAAUAAAAUUUAUUUAAUAUGGAUUAAGUGUUUAAAUAUAUUUAUGAAGGAGGAUUUAAUUGUAAGAGGAAAAGCAGUGAGGUUUUCUGAUAAAAGCUCUAAAUUAU
rnacentral:rRNA from 1 species